UACGUAGGGGGCAAGCGUUGUUCGGAAUUACUGGGCGUAAAGGGCGCGUAGGCGGCAUGGCAAGUCGGGAGUGAAAGGCCUGGGCUCAACCGAGGAACUGCUUUCGAGACUGCCAAGCUAGAGUGCGGAAGGGGCAUCUGGAAUUCCCAGUGUAGCGGUGAAAUGCGUAGAUAUUGGGAAGAACACCUGAGGCGAAGGCGGGAAUGCUGGGCCGACACUGACGCUGAGGCGCGAAAGCCAGGGGAGCAAAGC
rnacentral:rRNA from 1 species